AACAUUUCUUUGUCUUUUGUGAGGACUUACUUUGGAAUCCUUUUUCCAGCAAUUUCGGGUUCUGAAUUUAUGUCGGAUGUAUAGCUGGCCUUCUUCCAGUUGUUGGCUACAUUUUGAAAAGAUGCUGAAAAAUGAAAUACAGGAUUCUUGUUUUAUGCCGGGUCCACCCCUUCUCUGGCUGUGGUGUCUCCAUGAUUUUAACACUCUUUAACAGCCUGUCAAUGUCUUUAUAUGGUGGCCACCAGGAGUAUCCGUCAGCAUACCAGGACUUGGCAACUGGUCCAGUCGUCCCUUCUCCCUCAAACUCCACUAUUAGGAUGAAGAUUCCCACAAAAAGCAGCAAGAAGUUUUUGUACACCUCUGUGCCUACAAGUGAGAGGACCCAUCUUCAACCACAAGUGGAGAAGUCUUCUCAUGAUUCCGAGGCACACUAGGUGCAUGUAAUCGAGGGGGAUGCCAGAGACCAUGUCCAGGGAAGUUUGUUCAAGGGGUGACAUGCCAUGAUGGUGAUCAGAAUCGGUCUUGUUUCUGAAGCUCUCAUUGGUUCUUAGAGGCAUGUCGCUUCUUGGAAAUGUCAUCCUGUUUUCCAGGUACACUCCAUCCUGUGUGCAUUUUUCACAUCCAUGAUAGCCUGUGUGACCUUUGAUGUUUUUUAGGAAUGCACAAGCAGGUGCGUCGCAAACCAUCGAAGAAAGUUGUAAAGCUAACCUCACUCCUUCAAACUCAAAUCCAUUACCCAAUUCAUUUACUUCCGUGAUGAAGUCUUCAAGAUACUCGGUCAGUGAGGUAGGUUUACCUGUGCCACAAAAUAAACCUAUUGUCACUGGUUCUUCUUGUCUGAUAUUUUGCAGUGUUCCAAGAAUGGGCCAGAACUGUGUUGACGAACUCUUGUAGAGUGGCAGACCAUCGAUGUUGACCUGAAGCUCCAAUGUGUGAAUGUUGGUCAGAAUCUUGACAUUCUGAUGUAGCACCUCUGUGAUUGAAUUUAGUACUCCAAAAUGGUAAUACUGGCCACCAGCUUUGCGUUGUAUUUGAGGGUUCCCACGCACCGUUCCUAGCAACGUUCUUGAGUCUUUUGGCAGAUUUAAACUAUGUUGACGUAGUAUGUUUAGUAAUGAAUUUAAUGCCACGUGUGAGAUUUUGUUUUCAGUAGCCCAGGUUGCCAAAUCUUCUCCUAGGGAAGUUGGAUCGGUUUCAGACUCUGACUCGGGGUCAGAUUCACUGUCAUCAAGAAGACUUGCCAUAUUGACAGCUUCAGUCUCGUCAAUCUGAGAGAGACAGUCCAUAAAUGUGUCUUCAUCAUCGAUUUGACAUUGACAGGGGUUAUGGCAUGCGAUUGGCUCUUCGCUGCUGAUGUCACACUGUCAAGUGCGCGCGCUCCAAGAACUCCAGUUCAAAUCCCAAGUCGACGGAUGGACGGAGUUUGAUCGGCGUCAUGGCUCCUUCUGUGAUUCACCAAAGCGCGUCUGAAUUCAAGCUGGAAACGGCCUGCGCUUGGUCUGUCCCAGGGUGUCAUCGUCACUCACGAAGUGCAUUUUAUUCUGCUUACCUGACUCACGCAGAAUUCUGUCCUGUUUGGUUUCCAUCAUCCAGACACUCUGGCAACUGGGCUGUGUAUGGAGGCCACCAUUUUCUCCCACAAACUCCACUCUCAGGCGAUCAAAAACGACAGACUGUAUAAAACCCAACCGCUAGAUGUCAGUGUUAUCUCAGAACGUAAACUGACGUGGAGCCGGAGAAGUGCGAGCUUUGGAGAUGGUUCAGCCUAGAUGCUCAGAUCUACCACUGGUCCAGCUUCAUUCCCACAUCUGGCACCAACGAUUCAUUAAGUGCAGUCCAUAACCAGUGUCUGCACCUUGUCCAUUGCAAAUGUUAUGGAUUGUUCUAUUAGAGCUCAUUAUAAUCUUUGAGACUGGUGUUAUGUAAAGGCUGUUGUGUGUUGUGAGUAAAGUUCACCCCCCUGUAAAAACAGUUUCCCUUAGUUGUGAGAAUAUUUUACCUUCAUGCUCUCAGCAGUUCCUACAUUUUAAAGUGUCUUUUUAUUAUUAUUUUUUUUAUUAUUGAAAUAUUGUUUUAAUGUUCAAUCAACUUUGGGACAUAAUCAACUCUGGGAAGUUAGUAUCAUUAAUUCUGUAAGGUGCUUUGAAUCAAAUGAAUAUUUGUAUAGCGUGUUUCCUCCAAAGGCUGCUUUCUCAUUCCUCAAACAUCAAAAAGGUUCACCUUUGGUUUGCUCAUUGGAGUUUGUAAGCAUCAUUAUUUGGAACAAAAUAUGAAAAUGGCUCGGUGUUAUACUAUUUCAGUGCAUGGCAGAGAGUCGAAGAACCACCUGACACAAAGCCAUGGAUCACCCCCUUAUACAGAGCAUGGUAGGCUAUGAGGGGUCAAAUUCAUGCUUUCUGCAUUACGAAAUUAUGUGAACAACACCUAAUAAGCAGGUAGAAUUACCAUUUGCUUGAAACGAGCUUACCUUAACUUGGCUGGCAAAUUUUUUUGUAUUUUUUGUUUUUUGUUUUUUGUCUGAGGGAUCAAACAAAGGGAUAGAUGACCAAACUGGCUGUUUUACAUUAUGGGUUCCAGAAAGUGUUCAUAUGAGCUUGUAUUUUUAUUAGUAUUAUAAUUUAUAUAUUCUGAUUUGUAAUCAGAAGUCACCCUUUGCAAAUCAUUUAAAGCAUUUUAAAAAUUAAAUCCAUGAAUGCAGUGCUUAUCAUGAGUGCCUUUUUGAUUAUUCUGAGCCAAAAGCUAUUUAAGUGUACAGAGCCACUGACAUCCUGAAGUAAUCUUUGAAAUGCUCGGGUGAUGAGGUGAAUUCUCCUGUCUCUCUAUGCAAUCUCGGGAUUGAAUGGACCCAAUACUUCCUGUUUCUUUUUCUCUUUUUAAGAAGAGAGGAGACAACUUAAUUGUGCUCACUGCUGCUUGAAGACUUCAUUUUGUAUUGUUUUGCGAUUUGUUUAAAAUAUGCCCCAGACAGGGUGGGUGGAGGUGGCAGGAAAAAAAGCUGUGAAUAAAACUGAUGUUAAUAUGUUUUGAAAAAUAUUCAGUUCAAUAAGGUUGGUGUUAAAAUUAAAUUAUUUUGAAAAUGUUCUGUUCCAAUAAUGGUAAUAAAACAAAUAAAUAAAUCAUAUUUGUUGUAA